rnacentral:rRNA from 1 species
GACGAACGCUGGCGGCGUGCUUAACACAUGCAAGUCGAACGGAAAGGCCCCUUUGGGGGUACUCGAGUGGCGCACGGGUGAGUAACACGUGAGUAACCUGCCCUUUACUUCGGGAUAACUUCAGGAAACUGGGGCUAAUACCGGAAAGGAAUCCUUGCUUCAUGCUGGGGGUUGGAAAGCUACGGCGGUUUUGGAUGGACUCGCGGCUUAUUAGCUUGUUGGUGGGGUAGUGGGUUACCAAGGCUUUGUCGGGUAGGCGGCCUGGGAGAUUGACCGGCCGCAUUGGAACUGAGACACGGCCCGGACUCCUACGGGAGGCAGCAGUGGGGAAUUUUGCACAAGGAGAGGACGCCUGAGGCAGCAGCGCCGCGGGCGGGAUGACGGCCUUAGGGUUGUAAACCGCUUUCAGCAGGGGCGAAGCUUGUGGUGACGGUACCUGCAGAAGAAGCACCGGCUAACUACGUG